AUUGAACGCUGGCGGCAUGCCUUACACAUGCAAGUCGAACGGUAACAGGUCUUCGGAUGCUGACGAGUGGCGAACGGGUGAGUAAUACAUCGGAACGUGCCUAGUAGUGGGGGAUAACUACUCGAAAGAGUGGCUAAUACCGCAUGAGAUCUACGGAUGAAAGCAGGGGAUCGAAAGACCUUGUGCUACUAGAGCGGCCGAUGGCAGAUUAGGUAGUUGGUGGAAUAAAAGCUUACCAAGCCGACGAUCUGUAGCUGGUCUGAGAGGACGAUAAGCCAAAAUGGGACUAAGACACUGCGGAGACUCCUACGGGAGGAAGCAGUGGGAAAUUUUGGACAAGGGGCGAAUGCCUGAUUCAGCAAUGCCGCGUACAGGAUGAAGGCCUUCGGGUUGUAAACUGCUUUUGUACGGAACGAAAGACCCUGGGUUAAUACCCUGAGGUCAUGACGGUACCGUAAGAAUAAGCACCGGCUAACUACGUGCCAGCCGCCGCGGUAAAAC
rnacentral:rRNA from 1 species